AUUAAGGGCAACCAUGAGUUUCCGCGUCCAACUUUAAUCGUUCGUCUUAUUUGAAAUUUUUUUAUAAUUAGUAUUUUUGUUGUUAUAAGGUGAUAAAACAUGAAUAGUACUUUACUCUUGACUAAUUUUUUUUAAUUUUUUUAAAUAAGACGAAUAAUUAAAGUUGGACGCGGAAAACUAUGACUAUAGUUAUU
rfam:Oryza sativa Japonica Group DNA, chromosome 4, cultivar: Nipponbare, complete sequence.